GUUUCAAAUCUCAAAAGGUAAUAAAAUGAUUGCCUAGUGUUUAUCUAAGUAGUUUUUUAAUCAGUUUAUUGAGAUAUAGUUGACCAAUAUUGAGUAAAAUGGGAAAAAGUUGUUCAAACAUUCUUACCAGUUCUUGAACACUGCCAACCUAAGCGAGCAUUUCCUUACCAAAAAACUACCAGUUUCCACUAAAUGAGCCAGACCGGCACUCAUGAAUAUUUCCAGGUUCCAACAGGCUACUUUAAUGCAGAAGACUAAAGAAAGGGUCAAAUACCAGAAAAGAGCUCUCCCUGUUGGGCAAGAGAUUGAUUCAGAAUUUCAGCUCAUGAUCUGUUGUUAUUUACCUCUUUACAUCUCUCUGUACUUCACAGUAAGAAGAAUUAGUACUGGGUCUCAGAGCUACGAAGCUAUGAAGGUACUUCAAAAACUUCAUGGAACAUGCAAGCAGAAGAUGCUUAUUCUGCAGCCAAAAGGCUUCCUCCUUCUUAAAGCCUCGGAGAGGACCUGUAAAAAGUAAUUCAGGGGCCAGCACUGUGGCACAGAGGGUUAACGCCCUGGCCUGAAGCGCCAGCAUCUUAUAUAGGUGCCUGUUCGAGACCUGGCUGCUCCACUUCCCAUCCAGCUCUCUGCUAUGGCCUGGGAAAGCAUUGGGAGAUGGCCCAAGUCCUUGGGCCCCUGAACCCACAUGGGAAACCUGGAAGAAGCUCCUGGCUCCUGGCUCCUGGCUCCUGGCUCCUGGAUCCUGGCUUCGGAACUGCACAGCUCCGGCCGUUGUGACCAACUGGGGAGUGAACCAUCAGAUGGAAGACCUUUCUUUCUCUCUCUCUCUCUCUCUCUCUCUCUCUCUCUCUCUUCCUCUUCUCUCUCUUUGUAUAUCUGACUUUCAAAUAAAUAAAUCUUAAAAAAUGUAAUUCA
rnacentral:lncRNA from 1 species